rnacentral:lncRNA from 1 species
GAUCCCUCCCAUUAUGGGCCCAGUAAAACAUAAUAGCCCAUACUUACCGUCCAAUCAAACUUUAAACAAAAGGCGCAUUAGAUUUUUAAUUUUAUGAUCACAAACAGCCUAUAAUUUGAUCUCAUUAAACCAUGUCACAAUCCAAUUUUAAUAAAUACAAAUCAUACAAUUAAUGAAAGUCCAAAUUUUGAUAAAAUUUUCUAACAUAUAUAACUCUUUAUUAAUGCAUAGUUUUCUCGCUACAUCUCAAGUAUUCUCUCCAUCACA